rnacentral:rRNA from 1 species
CAAAUUUCUGCCUAUCAACUUUCGAUGGUAGAGUAGUGGUACUACCAUGGUUUCAACGGGUAACGGGGAAUUAGGGUUCUAUUCCGGAGAGGGAGCCUGAGAAACGGUACACAUCCAAGGAAGGCAGCAGGCGCGCAAAUACCCAAUUCCCGACACGGGGAGGUAGUGACAACUACAAUACUGAUACAGGGCUCUUUUGGGUCUUGUAAUUGGACAUGAGAACAAUUUAAAUCUCUUAUCGAGGCAACAAUUGGAGGGCCAAGUCUGGUGCCAGCAGCCGCGGUAAUUCCAGCUCCACAUAGCGUAUAUUACAAGUUGUUGCAGUUAAAUAGCUCGUAGUUGACAUCUUGGGGCUGGGUUUUGGCCGGUCGCGUCCUUGUGCACGGUGUACUGUCGGCCCGGUUUCUUUUACUGUGUGGGGGAACGUACUGUGCCCCUUUUGCGGGGU